ensembl:processed_transcript Gm16551 uncharacterized LOC115064818
AAGAAAGAAAGAAAGAAAGAAAGAAAGAAAGAAAGAAAGAAAGAAAGAAAGAAAGAAAGAAAGAAAGAAAGAAAGAAAGAACACGAUUCUAAAUGUUUGAUUUCAGAUACACCAUUAACACCUGCAGAGGGGGGGAGAAGAAAGAAAAAGAAAGGAGGGGCAGUCCAGCCGCCAUACUCUCUGGAGUGCCCUUGGGGACUCCCAGGACUGAGCCAGCUAGACAACCACCUUCAGCCCCUUUUUUUAAACGUUUUUUUUUUUUAAUUACUAGGAAAAAAUAUAUACACAUAAGCAAAAAAAAAUCCUCCCGGCAGGCGCGAGCGGGGGCGGUGAGCAGGCCGGCGAAGGCGGUAACGCCAGUCUAAUGCACAGAUAGCUGACAUCAACUUCCGUCAGGCGGCUCGGGGAGAUCGAACCUUUCGAUUGUAACUGGGACAAUUUGCAUAGUGAUUCCCUUUCAGAGCUUUCUCGGGCCCAUAACAAGCGCAGGCAGCUAUUCAAAUGCAAGUUGCGUCCCCAAUUGCGCCGCUGGCCUGAGCUAAAGGAGCAGCUCCUCACUGUUCGAGACGAGACCAGCGUUGGGGUUCUGGGUCACCUCUUUUCUCCCGGCUUUUCCCUUGCUCUCUGGUUCCUGAAUUAGCUGUUUGUUUAUGGCUCCAGACGUGUGUGUGCCAGCGAGCCGAGGCAACGCGCGAGGGAGGGAAUUGAUCUUUCCCCAGACUCAAAGCUGGAGCCGAAGAAGUGCGGGGGAUUUGGGGGUUCUGAGUGGGACUCAGACCCUGGGUGCUGAGGGGAAGCCCGUGGGCUCUCUGGCCCGCUUCUCUAACCUCAGCGACCUUGCAGGAAUCCUCAGGCCUGAGAGCGCCCAGGCUCUGGGCUUUGCAGAAAGUGGCGGCGGCUGUGUCCCGGGUUUUAAAAUCUACGCAAAGAAAGGAGGCAAAGCUGAAAGCUUGUCGCGUGUCAGAAGCAACCUGCCGUGAAAUCCGCUAAUGCGCCCCGACUCGCCCUUCGCGCAUGUAGCCACAGCAAAUUAUUGCUCAUUUGAUACCCAGAAUUCUAUUGACCAUGGCUUUUGUCGGAGAGAGAAUUCUAACUACUGCUGCUCUGGGCUCAGAGCUGAGGCUGGAAACAAGUAAAUCUAGCAAGAAUAGAUGGAGAGGUGCUGGUGACUGGAGCCACGUGGCCUUGCAUAGAAACCUGCCUUUUACUCUGCCUGCCUUGCUCCAGUUCAGGAAAAAGGUCGGCCCCUUUGGAACAGAUUUGCUUACUUGGAAGGCUGGGUAUUCAUUUGGCAAGUUCUUUCCAGCUCUAGCCAGGCUAGGGGAGAAAAUGAGACAAUGGAAGAUUGCUCCACAGGCUUUUGGUCAAAGCUAACCCAAGGCAGGAAAUACUUGAAGAUCACGUCCUAAAUUUCAACCCCACCCCGACCCCUUCAAGACUCUAGGGCAUCACAGAGCUGCUAGAGUGGAGAAAGAAUGCUGAGAUCUGAGUCUGGUUGUCAGUGGGCACCCAGCCUCCACAACAGGAACCACAGCCAUAGUGUCAAACUGUGUGAAGAAGGAGCCUGAAGAUUCACAGCUCCAGGUUGCUGGAGAGAGUUAGUCCCUAAAUGAGGCUGGAGAAGUGGGCAAUGAGAAAGAUCAGGUGAGUUCCCCAGGAAGCCAGUCACAGAAUCUGCAUUCCUGUUGCAAGAAGCUGAUGCUGGAGACCCAAAGACUUGACCUGCCGAAGGGUACCUACCCAUCUCCCUCCUGGCCUAGUCAGGGACCUCCACCUCACCUCCUCACUGCCUCCAUCUGGGAGAAAGUCACCUCGACUUUCAAGACUAAAUGAAUCAGAUCACAGAACCUGUCAGAUUUCCAAGGAACAAGCAACCCAUACCCUUCCCCGAAACCCUAACACGGAGAAAGUCCAUGGAAGGGAUGGCUGGCAGAGCUUUCAUUUCAACAAGUACUGGGAGCUAAACCUUCUAGGCCGGUUUCCAGAGCAGCAACAAGAACAUAAAAGGAAGCAAUUAACGGUUUUCUAAAUCAGUCCCAGCUUGUGCCGCCUGACUCCAAACCUAAAGGUGCAUUUAAGGGUACUAAGGGACCUGGCUAGGUAGUAGUUGUGUUUAUUUGUUUGUUUGUUUGUUUGUUUGUUUUCUAAUGAUACUGUUAAAUGUGUGUGUGAAACCACAGCCAAGAAGCCACAUUGUUCCAGAACCAGGCAGUAAAAUUGUAGGAGUGAGCACUGCAGACAGCAUGCCCAAUAUGGAGUACAGGGAAAUAUGGAGUAUGGGAGACAUGGAGAAACUGCGGUGAAUUCUGACAAUUACGUUGAACACAUUGGGAGUUUGCAGGAAGAUACACUGUGGGCUCUUUUGUAUUUUUAUGUAGAUUUAAAAACAAACAAAACCCCCCAAACCAGGCUGUUGAUGCAAUCAUAGCAUCUCAGAUGUAGCAUAUUUAUAUUUAUAUUUCCCCAAGUAUAUUCACAGGAUAUAUAUAUCCUGGGUUGAUGUGGAAAACAAACAAACAUUUUGCUGAUUCCAGCACAAACUCUGAAAGCCAAAACAAACAAACAAACCACUGUGGAGGACAAGGAGAGGGUGACUUCAAGCAGUCCUUCCUAUAGUCUGGGACUGUGGAGCCCAGAAAAAGCUAAGUAGAUCAUCCUGAACUAAAAGUUACCUUGGGAAACAAGACUUGAGAUCCGGAGUUGAGGUCAUGCGGGGGUCAUCCAGUAUUCCUUUGGAGCAUAGCAUAGCUGAGAACUUAGCUGGACUCAGUCACUUCAGACUGGAGAUUGGGAAAUUUCUUCCCCUGGCAUGCACUGCACCAACCCUGAGCUAAGGUGUCCCUGACUCUCCCUCAGGAUGCUCCUGACAGAGGUACUGCACUUCCCAACUGCCUUAGGCCCCUCGGGGUGAUGCCAGGCAAGUGAAACAACAACAACAACAACAACAACAAAAGAAAAAAAACUCAAUAGUAAAUUAUUUGUUCAGCCUUCUGUCUUUUUAUGAAAAUAAAAGCCAACGCUUUGUCAUUUUUAAUCGCAUAAGCAGACAAUAAAUCUAAUUUCGAUAUUGAU